ACUGGUUCUGCGCGUGCUGCAGGUGGUAGGAAUCUGAGCGCUCUACCAGCACUUUGAAAAGCUGAUGUAACUAUACUUUCCUGUGGAUAUAUUGUAUGACAUUCAAAAGGACCAAUCGCACGGACAACCGGUUAAGAAGAUUAUGUUUCUGUGCUAUGAGGAAGGCUUCGGAAUGGUCAUCCUCACUUACAACACGAUCAAGACAGACAGAUGUCAUCAUCCCCCCCAUCUCCACCCCAACUCAUUGAUGUCAUCUGUAUGUAAAUAGUGUUCUUGUCAUUAUUUUAGUGUUAUAGUGGUUUAUUAUCUUUAUUUGUUAAAUGUUUUUAUUUAUCUUGGCAAGUCAAUCAUGUAAUGUAAUUGUUCUGUUUAUAUGUGCAAAAAAUAUCACUGUAGACUCUAAAUGUUUAUUCAAUUAUAUGUUUUCAGUAUGAUGACUUGAUUAUGUGCAUAAUCAAGAAAAUGAAGAACAAUUUAUCCUGGGGGCUAAACAUCUAUACAGUCUAUAAAUACACUGAACAAAAAAAAUAUAAAAGGAGGUGAAGAAGCCGGAUGUGGAGGCCCUGGGCAGGCAGGUUACACGUGGUCUGUGGUUGUGAGGCCGAUUGGACGUAAUUCUCGAAAAUGACGUUGGAAACAAUUUAUGGUAGAGAAAUUAACAUUCAAUUAUCUGGC
ensembl:lncRNA